rnacentral:tRNA from 1 species
GCCGGAGUGGCUCAGGGGUAGAGCAGCGCACUCGUAAUGCGCAGGCCGGCGGUUCAAAUCCGCCCUCCGGCUCCA